rnacentral:rRNA from 1 species
UCCGUAGGGGGCUAUCGUUAUCCGGAAUUACUGGGUGUAAAGGGCGCGUAGGCGGGAUAUUAAGUCAGAUGUGAAAUUUUGAGGCUCAACCUCAAAACUGCAUCUGAAACUAAUAUUCUUGAGUGCAGUAGAGGAAAGCGGAAUUCCCAGUGUAGCAGUGAAAUGCGUAGAGAUUGGGAGGAACACCAGUGGCGAAGGCGGCUUUCUGGGCUGUAACUGACGCUGAGGCGCGAAAGCGUGGGGAGAAAACAGG